CCUACGGGAGGCAGCAGUGAGGAAUAUUGGUCAAUGGGCGCUAGCCUGAACCAGCCAAGUAGCGUGAAGGAUGACUGCCCUAGGGGUUGUAAACUUCUUUUAUAAGGGAAUAAAGUGAGGCACGUAUGCAUUUUUGAAUGUACUUUAUGAAUAAGGAUCGGCUAACUCCGUGCCAGCAGCCGCGGUAAUACGGAGGAUCCGAGCGUUAUCCGGAUUUAUUGGGUUUAAAGGGAGCGUAGAUGGGUUGUUAAGUCAGUUGUGAAAGUUUGCGGCUCAACCGUAAAAUUGCAAUUGAUACUGGCAGUCGUGAGUACAGUAGAGGUAGGCGGAAUUCGUGGUGUAGCGGUGAAAUGCUUAGAUAUCACGAAGAACUCCGAUUGCGAAGGCAGCUUACUAAACUGUAACUGACAUUGAUGCUCGAAAGUGUGGGUAGCAAACAGGAUUAGAUACCCUAGUAGUC
rnacentral:rRNA from 1 species